GACGAACGCUGGCGGCGUGCUUAACACAUGCAAGUCGAACGGCAAGGCCCUGCUUUUGUGGGGUGCUCGAGUGCCGAACGGGUGAGUAACACGAGAGUAACCUGCCCUUGACUUUGGUAUAACUUCAGGAAACUGAGGCUACUACCGGAUAGCAGCUCCUGCUGCAUGGUGGGGGGUGGAAAGUUUCGGCGGUUGGGGAUGGACUCGCGGCUUAUCAGCUUGUUGGUGGGGUAGUGGCUUACCGAGGCUUUGACGGGUAGCCGGCCUGAGUGGGUGACCGGCGACAAUGGGACUGCGGGACGGCCCAGUCGCCUACGGGAGGCAGCAGGGGGGAAUAUUGCACAGUGGGCGGAAGCCUGAUGCAGCAACGCCGCGUGCGGGAUGACGUCCUUCGGGGUGUAAACCGCUUUCGCCUGAGACGAAGCGUGAGUGACGGUAAUGGGUAAAGAAGCACCGGCUAACUACGUG
rnacentral:rRNA from 1 species